rnacentral:rRNA from 1 species
GGGUCAGUAGGUUGGUCGUGCCACCGGUACGUACUGGUCUCACUGAUUCCUCCUUCCUGAAGAACCGUAAUGCCAUUAAUUUGGUGUUGCGGGGAAACAGGACUGUUACCUUGAAAAAAUUAGAGUGUUUAAAGCAAGCUAACGCUUGAAUACAUUAGCAUGGAAUAAUGAAAUAGGACGAUCGAUCCUAUUUUGUUGGUCUCUAGGAUUGACGUA